UACGGAGGGUGCAAGCGUUGUCCGGAUUUAUUGGGUUUAAAGGGUGCGUAGGCGGCUUGAUAAGUCCGUGGUGAAAGCCAACAGCUCAACUGUUGAACUGCCAUGGAUACUGUCAGGCUUGAGUACAGACAAGGUAGGCGGAAUGGAUCGUGUAGCGGUGAAAUGCAUAGAUACGAUCCAGAACUCCGAUUGCGAAGGCAGCUUACUAGGCUGUAACUGACGCUGAGGCACGAAAGCGUGGGGAGCGAACAGG
rnacentral:rRNA from 1 species